UACAGAGGUCUCAAGCGUUGUUCGGAUUCAUUGGGCGUAAAGGGUGCGUAGGCGGCGUCGUAAGUCGGGUGUGAAAUCUCGGGGCUUAACUCCGAAAUUGCAUUCGAUACUGCGGUGCUUGAGGACUGGAGAGGAGACUGGAAUUCACGGUGUAGCAGUGAAAUGCGUAGAUAUCGUGAGGAAGACCGGUGGCGAAGGCGGGUCUCUGGACAGUUCCUGACGCUGAGGCACGAAGGCCAGGGGAGCAAACAGG
rnacentral:rRNA from 1 species